AGAGUUUGAUCCUGGCUCAGAUUGAACGCUGGCGGCAUGCUUUACACAUGCAAGUCGAACGGCAGCACGGGUGCUUGCACCUGGUGGCGAGUGGCGAACGGGUGAGUAAUGCACCGGAACGUACCCAGUAAUGGGGGAUAACACAUCGAAAGAUGUGCUAAUACCGCAUACGCCCUGAGGGGGAAAGCGGGGGAUCGUAAGACCUCGCGUUAUUGGAGCGGCCGAUGCCGGAUUAGCUAGUUGGUGAGGUAAGAGCUCACCAAGGCGACGAUCCGUAGCUGGUCUGAGAGGACGCCCAGCCACACUGGGACUGAGACACGGCCCAGACUCCUACGGGAGGCAGCAGUGGGGAAUUUUAGACAAUGGGCGCAAGCCUGAUCCAGCCAUGCCGCGUGAGUGAAGAAGGCCUUCGGGUUGUAAAGCUCUUUCGCAAGGAAAGAAAACUUAUCUACUAA
rnacentral:rRNA from 1 species